rnacentral:rRNA from 1 species
CACGUAGGGUGCGAGCGUUGUCCGGAAUUAUUGGGCGUAAAGAGCUCGUAGGCGGUGUGUCGCGUCGGCCGUGAAAACCUGCAGCUUAACUGUGGGCUUGCGGUCGAUACGGGCAUCACUGGAGUUCGGCAGGGGAGACUGGAAUUCCUGGUGUAGCGGUGAAAUGCGCAGAUAUCAGGAGGAACACCGGUGGCGAAGGCGGGUCUCUGGGCCGAUACUGACGCUGGAGGAGCG